UCCUCCAACUGCAGGAUGCAAUGAGCAAACAGCAGGGACUAUCCAGUCUGUACUUCAGGAAAUGAGCGAGAGUGAAGAGGAAGAGAAGUCAGUUGCUCCAGGUGACUACUGGAGGACGACCUAGAUGUUUCCAGCCCAGCUCUUUACUUUCUUCUUCUUGAGCCUGCCCACCUGCAGGGAGAGUGUGCUCCAGUCUGUCAGGGACUGCCUAUAAGGACCACACCCUGUGGGUGUCCAGCUGUGUCCCGGCCAGCUCCCUGGGAGAAGACGCUCUUAACUCAGAGAUGCGGAGACAAUCACAAAUGCACUAUAAGACAUCUCUCUCCCCAACGGCUGCACUGAAG
rnacentral:lncRNA from 10 species